UACAGAGGUCCCAAGCGUUGUUCGGAUUCACUGGGCGUAAAGGGUGCGUAGGUGGUUGCGCAAGUCUGAUGUGAAAUCUCCGGGCUCAACCCGGAAAUGGCAUUGGAAACUGCGUGGCUAGAGGGUUGGAGGGGGACUGGAAUACUUGGUGUAGCAGUGAAAUGCGUAGAUAUCAAGUGGAACACCAGUGGCGAAGGCGAGUCCCUGGACAACACCUGACACUGAGGCACGAAAGCUAGGGGAGCAAACAGG
rnacentral:rRNA from 1 species